rnacentral:lncRNA from 13 species
AGGAAGUGCAAUUUGAGUCCUAAGUCAAUGGAUACUGUAAUGGCAAUCAAUAGAAAACUACAAACAUAAAAAAAUCCCACUUCCUGGAUGGAUUUUUCUCAGGUUUUCGUCUGCCAAAUCAGUUCUGUUAUACUCACAGAUAUUAUUUUAACAGUUUUGGAAACUUUAGAGUGUUUUCUAUUCAAAUCUAUUGUAUGCAUAUCCUAGCUUCUGGGACUGAGUAGCAGUCCGUUUACUUAGGGCACGCUUUUCAUCCGGAAGUGCUCUCAUGCAUGUUUCAGUGUUAUUGUCCUCGAAGCGAGCAUUGAAUUUGUUUUGCUCAUCCGGUUGGCUUGUGUCACUGGGCAGCCCUCGGCUGUGCUUCCCUUUGUAGUCUGUAAUGGUUUGCAGGCCCUGCCACAUUCGAUGAGCCUCAGAGCCGGUGUAGUACGUCUCGAUCUUAGUCCUGUAUUGACACUUUUCCUGUUUGAUGGUUCUUCGGAUGGCAUAGCGGGAUUUCUUAUAAGCUUCCGGGUUAAAGUCCCGCUCCUUGAAGCGGCAGCUCUAGCCUUUAGCUCAGUGCAGAUGUUUCCUGUAAUCCAUGGCUUCUGGUUGGGGUAUGUACGUACGGUCACUGUGGGGACGACGUCAUCAGUAAACUUAUUGAUGAUGCCAAUGACAGAUGUGGUGUACUCCUUCCUCAAUGCCAUUGGAGGAAUCCCGGAAGAUGUUCCAGUCUGUGCUAGCAAAACAGAUCAUAAAUGGAUCAGUCGAUGUCAAGGUAUUUAUUUUUAGUUACUGCUCACUAAAUGAGCCUGGUGUGACAGUUACAAAAGAAAAUACGUGUUCAAUAGAAUUCCUGAAUUGCAAUAACACCCUGUGUUACUUCCUCUGUCUCCCACUGGGCUGUCGCUCUGUCUGUCCCCCCUCUGUGCUGUCCCUCUGUCUGUCAGACCUGACAGUGGUGAUCAUUGUGAUCUGUGGUGUGUCUGCUGUGGUGCUGGUCCUGGCCCUGGGCAUGGGCAUCAAGAUCAUGCUGAAGAAGGACUUUGCGAAGACCAAGACCAGGAUGCAGCAUAAUACUCAGAACCUACGGAACACCGCCAUUACAACAGAGUAGGGUUUCCUUUUUCCCAAAAACCUUUCUUCCUGAGAAAAUUGCAAUCCUUUCCUGGGCAUCCAUGUAUUCCCGUUAAAACAGGAAAGGCUUUUUAAAAGCAUAUAAAAAUCUGAUUCACUGUAAAUGGAGAAACAUACAAACGUGUCUAUGCUCUAUUUGUUGCAAUUUAAAGGUCCAAUGCAGACGUUUUUAUCUCAAUAUCAAAUAAUUUCUGGGUAACAAUGAAGUACCUUACUGUGACUACUUUAAAUUACAAUGGUAAAAUAUAUACAAAAUUAGCUUUUUACCAAAGAGCAAUUUCUCAAGCAAGAAUUUUGCUAGGACUGUCUGGGAGUGGUCUAGGUGUUGCGGGGAAACUGAAAAUGUGCUGUUAUUGGCAGAGAGGUUUGGAACUCUCUUUCUUAUUGGUCUAUUAACUAAUUUACCGCCUGGUGAUGUCACCAGGUGGGCCAAAACUCAAAAAAAAAAAUUGAAUUAUCAGAAUUUUCACAAAUUCACAGUAUUAUUUGAAACUCUAGGAAAUCACGUUUUUCUAGGCCUUAAAUCGACAUAAAGUCCCUUCAAAGUCACCACACUGUUUCGUUAAUGUUGCCUAGUUUUAAUGUAGGUCUAUGAAGCACUGUCGGCUGACUGAUAACAUAUUGUUACAGCCUAGUGAAAAUUACAGUCAUAACCAUGUAUAUAUGUAUAUAUGUACAUAGCUGACAUAACCUGUUAUAAUAUGGUCAUAACACUGUCGUGACACUUAUAUUUCGGCCUGUUGUGACAUAUAUUGCGUUAUUUUAUGGCUGGUUAUUAUGACACCUAGAUAAGAGUGUCAAAACCCACAAAACCUACCGCACAAGGCAAGACAUUCAAUUACACCAUAGCCUACAUAUCUACAAUACGUUUCUGUUAUAUUUCUUGGUUGAAAUUGACCAUAUUAAAUUAUCAUUGUAAUGGAGCACACAUUGAUGUCAGACAUACACCUACCUCAAUGCUCUCUUGCUAAUGACUGGGAUGAAUGCAGGAGCAGAUUUCAGGAACAGGACAAGACACCCUCUUUUUGACUGAUGAUAUAAGGGCCUAUCUGUCUUAUAUUUGAUAUGUAUUAGCGUUCCCAUUAGCCGCUGCAAAAGCAUCAGCUACUCUUCCUGGGAUCCACAUGAAACAUGACAUAAGACAUAGUACAUAACAUUAUUAGUCAAGGACUUAACUACAUACAUGUAAAAUGUAAGACACAGCCUACAUUUCAGUCCAUACACACAAUAUCUAGGACAAAUACAUAGUACAGUGUAAAUUACAGUACAAUAUAGGUAGAAUGUCUGUGUCUCUUCACAGUCCCCUUUGUGCAGUGAGGUGUUCUUUUAAUCUGGUUCUGUUGCGAGCUUGAGCUAUAUGAUUAAGGUGGUCAUAAUGCUUCUUGACAGUGACAUAAAGUGUAUUUUGUUAGUCCAGGUAGAGUGACACAGGGAGGUCAUAAUGCUUCAUGACAGUGAGUAUAAAGUGUAUUUUCUAUGUUAUUUAAAAUAUGAUGGAGAAAAAAAAACAUGACUGCAAAGAAUACAUUACAACAACAACAACAAACAAUGAACAAACGUUCAAACAAAAGGAAACCUCUUGGCAGGUGAAAAACUGAAUAAAUGUGUGUUUUAACACUCUUAUGUAGGUUUCAUAACCAGCCAUAAAAUAACACAAUAUAUGUCACAACAGCUGUAAAUAUAUGGGUCAUGACAGUGUUACGAUCAGUGUUAUGACAGGUUAUGACAAGUUAUGUCAGCUGUUAUGACAUAUUAUGACAUGGUUAUGACCGAGUCAUGACGUGUUAUGACACUGGGUGUCAAGUAAAAUGUUACCAAAAUUACAUUAGUCUUAGUCUACCUUUGACUGAAAGAUGUCAGCCAGCUUUUUGGUCCUUUUCUCUCUCCUUACACCUGGCUAUCAGGGGAAUUUGCAACAGUUUGGGCUGUUUGCACUUAAUGAUACCUUUUGGCACGACAAAUAAGCAAAUAGUAGCGGAGAUUCAGAACCGUGGAUAGCAAACAACAUGGAACAAAUGUUGCAAAUGUCAAUUUCCUUGAGCGCUUGUGUGAACACAAUGUAGGGUUGUCAGAUGUUCUGUUAACAGUGAGUAGCCACAAUUGAUAUUUCCAGCCUCUGCCAGUGCAGAGGCCUGAAAUCUUAUAAUACCUGUUACCGGUAUUAAACCACAAAACAGAUGUAUUUGGCUAUUGACCAGGCCCAGAGAAACAUACAUACCCAUUCAGUUUUCACUUGUUUAUGCAUCUGUAUCUGUGCAUGUAGUAGACUUUACCUUGAGCCAGAAAACAAAGGUUAAGUCCUCAAACAAACCUGAAUAUUUCUGCCUGUCUCAUUCCAGACAUUCAAAGUACUUUAAAAAAGGAAUAACAAUGUUUAUUUUCUUGUAAAUGUAUUAAAUUCCAGCCUAGAUUAUUUUCACCCUCCACUACUCUUUCUAAUAUGUGUGUUUGUUCCCUCACUUGUGAGAAAUUGCAUUUCAUUUAAUAAACAAGUAAAGAUUUGAAAAUAUGACUAUCAGAGUUUUCUAACUCAGUGUGUGUGUGCGUGUGCGCGUGUGUGUGUAUGUGUGUGUAAGAGGCCUGGCCAGGCCAGGGCGGCUCUAUUGUGUAACCAAGCGACGGGCUCUUAGCAACCAGAUUAGCCACUCCUACUGCACAGCGUCUCCAUUCAGUGGAGUAAAAGCACCAGGAAAUGCUGUAAUCCUCUCUCGGGCCUUUUGCAUGUAAUCCUACUGCCUGCAUAUAGGGACACUGUGUGUGCUCUCUUUAUUUAUACGGGUUUUGGUGUGAGUGUGAAUACUGUAUGUGUUUGUGCGCGGGAAGAGAGGACAGUGGGUAUGUGUUUGCAGUACCAUAUGGUAGUCAGGCUUAAUUUUGUGUGUGUGUGUGUGUGUGCGUGUGUGUGCGUGUG